rnacentral:rRNA from 1 species
GUAGGUGGCAAGCGUUGUCCGGAAUUAUUGGGCGUAAAGCGCGCGCAGGCGGUUCUUUAAGUCCGAUGUGAAAGCCCACGGGCUCAACCGUGGAGGGUCAUUGGAAACUGGAGAACUUGAGUACAGAAGAGGAAAGCGGAAUUCCACGUGUAGCGGUGAAAUGCGUAGAGAUGUGGAGGAACACCAGUGGCGAAGGCGGCUUUCUGGUCUGUAACUGACGCUGAGGCGCGAAAGCGUGGGGAGCAAACAGGAUUAGAUACCCUGGUAGUCCACGCCGUAAACGAUGAGUGCUAAGUGUUAGGGGGUUUCCGCCCCUUAGUGCUGCAGCUAACGCAUUAAGCACUCCGCCUGGGGAGUACGGCCGCAAAGGCUG